UGCCGGACAAAUGUUUCUGGUAAGAGGAAGAAAACUAUUAGAAGCCUGUCCCCUUUUUCCAGGGUUUUUGGCUAAUUUCGGUCUGCUCUCCUUCCCUCUGCAUUUUCCUGAAGGCUGGAGACUGCCUAGUGCUGAAACCUCUGGAUACCCUCUCCCAAAACACUGCCUUCUGCUCCUGUCUGAGGGAACUGGGGCUCAGAGCUGCAGAUUUGGCCUCACUCUGAUCCUAGCUGGAGUAGAGCUGGAUGGGCUCAUUAACUGCAUGUGCCUGCAAAGCAGAAUGUCCUCAUGCCCAGGGUCCUGCAAAUGACUGAGCCAUUGAGGAGGAAACAUGCUUCACAAGGCAGAAAAUUACAGAGACAUCCACCUCCCACACUCUUCAUAAUCUGAGACUUCACUGAACCUGGAGCAAAGACUGUGAAGAGGAGAAUGACAAAGUAACAGUAACUACAGGUGCACCCUUGGGUUAGUCAUUGUGGUCUAUAUACUUACAGCUGGCAACCAGAAUAACCACUCCCAAAGGAUGAUGAUUUAUAGGGGUAGAGGAAAAAAGGAUGGAGACAUAAACAAGAAGAACUAGUAGCCAAGUAAUGUGGAACAAUUGCUGGAAUGUUGCACAAAAACCAUAAGUAGACUGGUAUGUAGGUCUGCCACAGUCCUGGGAAGUGCCCUCAUUAAAAGCUUUUUUAUGUUAUGCUGCAGAACUUCUUUUUCAUAUGAAACACUUGGAGAAUCUGGCUUAUGACCCAAGACAAAAUGAGAAAAAAAAUAUUAAAUAUCCCAAAAUGUUUUAAUGUAGGAGAAUCACAUCCUGCACAUCUUUACACUAGGAGAAUUGAAGGCUUUUUGACACAUGAGAAUCUAUGCUCAAGAAUGGACAUCUGCACAUUGGAAAACACAGAUUUUUUUAAAAUUUGAUUUAUGCCUUGAAGCCUAUUCAGAAGCACAGAAACAGAACUGUCCAAAGGUCACUCGAAAUUGUAUCAACAAGUGACAAAGUCUUUGGCAGUAAAAUGUUGAUUUUAUGGCAGGUAAUUGCAGACACCAAUGCUUCAAUUUCUUAGUGUGUUGUACAUGAAAAGAGCAAAAUUCAUUUGCUUAAUCAAAAUAAGUUUAGGUAUUUGAAAUGUGAAUGAGUUGGAAAUAUAUCUACUGAUGUUGUGAUAAUAACAUGAAGCAUUUAAGGGCUUAUUUUCAGUACAUAUACAGUGAAAAUACACUUAUAUUUGAGGGUUAAGGGAGUCAAUAAAGUUUAUGUUAAUAAGACUUGUUGAUAACAGGACUGUGCUAAGUGAAAUUGCAGGAAACAUUGGAAUACUUUUUAAUAAAUUGUAUCAUUUUAGACUUAGACCUCAAUGAGAUGUCUCUCUGAAUUUCACAGAAAUUGUGUAAAAAUAGCAGAAGCAAAAUAAAUUCUUAGAAGUGUAAAAUAAAGAGACA